CACAAUGGCCAAUCUAAGUGAUCAGGGCACUGCUAACAACCACUGGGCUGAUGAUCUAAGUUAAUUAGAUCUAAGUUAACUAGAUCUAAAACAACCUCUGGGCUGAUCAUAAAAGAUUGAACCUGAAACAACCUCAGCAAACAAGCCGUCAGUGGUUCGAGUCCCGCGAGAACCCAACUGAGGCAGAUUUUUUAAUCUGCUUAUACACUCGAUGUAGCAUACACUUAACAUACAAACCUCAGGGUUAGUUGUUCUUGGUUAGUCAUUGCUAACUCCCAGAUUAAAUUGGAAUUUAGAGAGAAAAAUCAAACCCUGAGAAAAACCUUUGAAUCAAGGCCAAGAAUUGAACCUGAGACCCUAGAGGUGAGAAGCAAGUGGGUUAUUGCCCGCCGACGAACCACAAAACACAGUAACUGCUUUCAAAGGUUCCAUUGUUAUGGCUUAUUAAGACGUUGUUUACGAUUGGACAACUGCAGCUUCAAACAACAAGAAAAGGCUCGAUCAGCACCCCCACUUUUCAAGUUGUUCAAUCGCCACUGAAUGGGAGAAGAGAGAGAUGGAAUCACUGUAAGGAGAUUCCAAGAUGGGAUUGCAUAACAAACCCCAUCCAAUGUUACAAACCUCGNGAGGCCCUUAAUGGCAGGGACAUUGGUAGGACACCAUAGCCUGCUAACAUAGGGAUGAUAAAUCAUCAAGAAUGGUUGAAGAACAGGACAGGAAUCCCCCUAUUUUCACUUAAUCUAUGUGUACAUCCCUGCUUUCUGUUGUCACACAACUAGCCUCAACUUCCAAUAAAGCCCAGUUGUAGCAGAAUUCAUAUACGUAAAGUUCUAAUGUGUAAUUGUUUUAAUUUUUACAAUAAACAUGUUUAUAUUUAUUCAAA
rnacentral:lncRNA from 1 species